GAUGAAGAACGCAGCGAAAUGCGAUACGUAAUGUGAAUUGCAGAAUUCAGUGAAUCAUCGAAUCUUUGAACGCACAUUGCGCUCUCUGGUAUUCCGGAGAGCAUGCUUGUUUGAGUAUCAGUAAACACCUCAACUUCCAUAUCUUUUUUGAAAUGGGAGUUGGACUUGAGUGAUCCCAACGCUUUUCCUCACCGAAAAGUGGCGGGUUACUUGAAAUGCAGGUGCAGCUGGACUUUUCUCUGAGCUAUAAGCAUAUCUAUUUAGUCUGCCUAAAAAACAGAUUAUUACCUUUGCUGCAGCUAACAUAAAGGAGAUUAGUUCUUGUGCUGACUGAUGCAGGAUUCACAAAGACAGGCUUCGGCCGACUUUGUAAACUCGAUCUCAAAUCAAGUAAGACUACCCGCUGAACUUAAGCAUAUCAAUAAGCGGAGGA
rnacentral:misc_RNA from 1 species